rnacentral:rRNA from 1 species
GCAGUCUGCAACUCGAGUGCAUGAAGCUGGAAUCGCUAGUAAUCGCGGAUCAGAAUGCCGCGGUGAAUACGUUCCCGGGUCUUGUACACACCGCCCGUCACACCAUGGGAGUCGGGAAUGCCCGAAGCCGGUGGCCCAAUCGUAAGAAGGGAGCCGUCGAAGGCAGGCCGGAUGACUGGGGUGAAGUCGUAACAAGGUAGC